AUGUUGAUCAGGAAGUUCUGGUGGGGAAGUAAGGAUGGACAUCGCAAACCACAUUGGGUCUCUUGGAAGGCUAUGACACAACCUAAAGGUAUGGGGGGUUUAGGCUUCAAAGAUUUUGAACUUUUAAAUCUAGCCAUUCUUGCCAGACAGACAUGGAGGCUUUUGCAGAACCCUGAGUCUCUAAGUGCCCUUAUUCUGAAAAGUAUCUACUACUCGGAGUCAUCGAUGUUGCAUGCAAAUCGUGAUAGCCACCCAAGUCAGAUCUGGCGAGCUAUUUUGGACGGUAGAGAUACUCUAAAACAAGGGUUGAUCAAGAGGAUAGGCAAUGAAGAGGACGCACACAUUUGGAAUGAUAAUUGCCUUCCUCGAGAUGAGUUGAUGCGACCGUAUGGGUGUUUGAUUCAAGACCCACCCACACAUAUUUCUGAAUUAAUUGAUGCCACCUCAGCUACGUGGGACAGACAACGACUGUAG
rnacentral:rRNA from 1 species